rnacentral:rRNA from 1 species
GUGCCAGCCGCCGCGGUAAGACGUAGGGGGCCAGCGUUGCUCGGAAUUACUGGGCGUAAAGGGUUCGUAGGCGGUGCGGCAAGUCGGAAGUGAAAUCUCCAGGCUCAACUUGGAGGCUGCUCCCGAAACUGCCGCGCUAGAGUGCGAGAGAGGCCAGUGGAAUUGCAGGUGUAGCGGUGAAAUGCGUAGAUAUCUGCAGGAACACCCGUGGCGAAGGCGGCUGGCUGGAUCGCAACUGACGCUGAGGAACGAAAGCUAGGGGAGCAAACAGGAUUAGAUACCCUGGUAGUCCUAGCCCUAAACGAUCAGGACUUGGGGUGCAUCCCGACGGGGUGCGUCCCGUAGCUAACGCGUUAAGUCCUGCGCCUGGGGAGUACGGUCGCAAGACUGAA